GAGCGGUGACGAAAUUGGUUUAAGUGAAGGUUGGGUCCUUCACAUAUCUCUGAUCUAUCGGAUGAUAUAGCCUCGAAUCUGAGCUC
rfam:Arabidopsis thaliana chromosome 1, complete sequence.